GAUGAAGAACGUAGCAAAAUGCGAUAAGUAAUGUGAAUUGCAGAAUUCAGUGAAUCAUCGAAUCUUUGAACGCACAUUGCGCCCGCCAGUAUUCUGGCGGGCAUGCCUGUUCGAGCGUCAUUUCAACCCUCAAGCCCUCGGGUUUGGUGUUGGGGAUCGGCGAGCCUUUCUGACAAGCCGGCCCCGAAAUCUAGUGGCGGUCUCGCUGCAGCCUCCAUUGCGUAGUAGUAAAACCCUCGCAACUGGAACGCGGCGCGGCCAAGCCGUUAAACCCCCAACUUCUGAAUGUUGACCUCGGAUCAGGUAGGAAUACCCGCUGAACUUAAGCAUAUCAUAAGCGGAGGA
rnacentral:misc_RNA from 1 species